GAGAAGUCGUAACAAGGUUUCCGUAGGUGAACCUGCGGAAGGAUCAUUGAAUAUGCAAACCACAACACGCACUCUUUUAUUUGUGUACCGACGUUAGGUCGAACCACUAACCCUGGUUUGGCCUACUAACCUACACACACACACCAUUGACCAACAAAUUGAUUAAACCAAACUCUGAAGUUUCAGCUGCUGUUAAUCGGCAGUUUUAACGAAAACAACUCUCAACAACGGAUAUCUUGGCUCUCGCAACGAUGAAGAACGCAGCGAAAUGCGAUACGUAGUGUGAAUUGCAGAAUUCCGUGAACCAUCGAAUCUUUGAACGCAUAUUGCGCUCGACUCCUCGGAGAAGAGCAUGUCUGCCUCAGCGUCG
rnacentral:rRNA from 1 species